GGGCGAUUAGCUCAGUUGGGAGAGCACCUCCAUUACAAGGAGGGGGUCACUGGUUCGAGCCCGGUAUCGCCCACCA
rnacentral:tRNA from 4 species